AAUCAACGCUGGCGGCGUGCCUCAGACAUGCAAGUCGAACGCGAAAGUUCCCUUCGGGGAGCGAGUAGAGUGGCGCACGGGUGAGUAACACGUGGAUAAUUUACCUUCGGGUGGGGAAGUAACAACCGGAAACGGUUGCUAAUACCGCAUAAUGCAGCGGCAUCUAUGAUGACAGUUGUUAAAGCGGGGGAGUCGCAAGACCUCGCGCCUGAAGAGAAGUCCGCGGCAGAUAGCUAGUUGGUAGGGUAAUGGCCUACCAAGGCGACGAUCUGUAGCCGGCCUGAGAGGGCGGUCGGCCACACUGACACUGACAUACGGGUCAGACUCCUACGGGAGGCAGCAGUCGGGAAUUUUUGGGCAAUGGGCGAAAGCCUGACCCACGCAACGCCGCGUGAAGGAUGAAGCAUUUCGGU
rnacentral:rRNA from 1 species